GCACAGAGAGGUUCCGUUAAGAAAUACUGAUAAAAGUGCUGUACUCUGUAUACAAGGCCGGUAGACUAGGAAGGGAGGAAGUGGGCGGGCUUCUAUCUUGGCUCUUCAGGACCUUUAAAGCGCAGAUUACUAUUCCACCAUCUUUGGUAAGGACGUAGACGGUUUGUUUGGUGAACGCAUGAGGAAAGGCGUGACUCAGCUCUGGCUUUGUUUACGUUUUAUUGGAGCGCGGAAAUUCUGCCAUCUUUCCUAAGGGCAAAAGAGUCUACGGGGAGAGAAUGUGAUGGAAUUUGUUUGCAGCUGGCUGAAGCGUUCCGUUGUUGAUAUCUGACAGACAUCCAAAACUUACCAGAAGAUUAUCAGUUCUGAGGAUGAAUUUCUAACAUACGUAGCUCACUUAGUAUUAGCUUAAUCAGAUCUCCAACUAGCCUUUUUUCUCUUUCCUUUCCUGGGAAUAGGCACGGUGAGAAGGUUUCAGCUCUCAAAAUCUUAUUUCAUAUUUUUGCAUGAAGAGGACACACAUACUCUUUCUCAAAAUAGAUGAGUACCAUUUGGCUAUCCUGUAAAGCAUUACGGAAUAACGAACGUGACAUCGUGCUUUUCAAGAAAGAUUGUAACAAGCCAAAAAACAGGUCUCUUGACACUAGAGAUACUAAAAAAAAUUUUGCAGGUGAACUUCUGGAGCACAGACUCUUGUAUUGGAAAACCUAUAUUGUUAAGAGCAAGCUGCAAGGUCCCUUUAUAUCCCUGUCUUCUUUUAAAGAAAUCAGGACAGCAGGUGUGGUUCAACCUUAUUCUAGAUCACAACACCCUGAAAGAUAGAUAGAAGUGUCUGUGCAUAUCUAAAUCUAUUCACACACUUAAACCAAUCUGCAGAAGUGGUAGAAGGCAAUCUGGAUUUUUUUCCUGAGUAAUCAGCAAAUGUUCUGACGCACAGAUGUUUAAUGACUGAAGCAGCAGAAUAACCUUUCACACCUAAACUAGGCUGCUGCAAUGAAGUAAGUUAAUGAGUGGACUUCAGCAUGCAAAUACUAUGAACUCAAAAUGCUAGGCUCAGAGGACUUCUAGUCUCCAAUAUGCUGAGGCACUCUGAUCUUCUACUAUGUGUCUUUCUGGGUCUUGACCUGAUUGGUAAAUGUGCUUUAGGUGGGGUAUCAAUUUUAUCUACUUUGAUCUUUGCCUUCCAUCAUUCUGAUGUUUUCUCCCUGCUGUUUUCAGAUCUUUUCACAUUCAGCUUUUCAGUCAUACCUCCUAUCAACUGUGUGUAACCCAUACUCAUAGUAUCUUGUUGAUAGUUUACUUCCUGAUUGCUAUUUUUUAUAUUCUACCACACUUCCACCCACUUACUACUGCAAAAGUGCCACUACAUAAGACCCCUUGAUAGGGGCACAGAAAGCAGAGGCAACAACAUGGGACUAACCAUUAAAAAAACUAUAGCAAGGAAAUACUGUUAUAAUGACAAGCACAAUAUAAGAGGCAAGCAGUUGAAUUCUGUUUGUCAGGUUGGUGGAUUUCUUUUUGAAUGGAUUUAGGGUAUUUUGAGGGUGCUGCAUACAAACUCCCGUUACUUUUGCUGAAUUGGUUCUAGUUUGGAGAUAAUGGUCAUCCAUGAAAAUAAUGCAUUCCCCCAAUGCGACUUGUGUGUGAUAACAAAUGCAAUAGCUUUUGGUCUGUCUUUUGAUUCUUUAACAGUGUCUUAGGUAAUGAAAUAUCCCAUAUAAUUAUUUUGUAUUUCAAUUUGUAGGCCUACAAUGCUAUAAAAGUGACUUUUUGAAGCAUUGACAUUGGUAACAAUUAAUAACUAGUUAAUUACUUAACUAUUAAAUAUCUCAGAAACUAGAGCCAAUUUGGCAAAACCGAAGUCAUAUUCUUAAUUAGCACCAUAAACUUAAUAUAAAACCAUUCAGACAUCAUUGGCACCAAAAUCACUGUAUACCAGUGUAAUUGAAGUUGAAGGUGCAAGAGUCCUUAUGCUGAGAAAGUUAUGAAGCCUGGCUGCAUUGGUCUUAAUUUCAAGGCAGAAAUAAUUUUAAUUUCCCCUUAGAUGUGAGGCACACAAACUGCUGGGUGUAAAAGAGAGCAGUAAAGGGGAAUAUACCAUUUUUAUUUUUUUACUUUAGCAAAGUCAGUUAUUGCUUUUUUUAUGGAGAUCCUCCUUUCCAUUAUCACUUUCAAAGAUUUCAUUUUCCUGCAAUAUAAGGAGAUACAGAAUCUUUUGACCUCUGAUGUGGAGCAUAUCAGGAAAAAGGUAUCUUUUUGAUCUUCUGCCACAAACUUCAGCUUCAUUAAUGGUUGGACUUGGUGAAAAAAGAUAUGUACUGUUUUCAGCCAGAAGAAGAAUUUUCCAUAUUCCAAGUCUAUGUCAGUUAUAUUGGUUCAGUUGAGUGCUACUAACCAGCUCAGCAGCAUAAAUAGCUUCUGGCAUUCUUAGAAGUGAUUUUAAAAACCCUCUGAAACUGGUGAAGGCAAAACUUUGGAAUGUGGUAUGACCAGAGUUGUCUGAGCAAAAAAUUAGAAACAGUUUUUUAGGAAUUAGUAGGAAGGGCACAAAGAUGAUGGAAAUGACUGAGAAGGUUUUUCUGGCAGAGGUAUGCAGGAUGGUGUUUUGAGUAAUUUGAAAAUAUGAAUUUUCUUAAGAAAGGCCUGACGUAUAGAUGUAUUAGUGUGCCUUUCAUCAUCCCUUUAGGAACUAGAUGCUGCAGGUUUGCUUAGGGCUACAUCUUCAGUGUGCACAUGCUUAGCCUUCUAUGGGCCUGGGGGGAUACAGCCAUCCCUCAUUGUGCCAGGUGAUGACAUCAUUGCAGCAUGCAGUUUCAGGCAUGGAGGGGCCAAGCCAGCCCUCUAAAGGGCAAAUAAUACUUUGGUUCUGCCGGGGUCACCAUCACUACUGGCAAGCACCAUAGGCGAAGCAUAUUCCUCUGUUGCUGGAACUGAAGAUCAAUCGUGGUCAGCUCCUUUUGCUUUGCAUGCAUGGCGUAUGUAUUCGGUAUAUAUAGACAUGGCUUUAGAAUCUUUGUUAUAUUCUGACGCUUGUCAAUAGUUCUUUAUUUCCUGUAGGUGUUGCACCUGGAAGGGACAGACUCCUAUAAUCAUGUCUGACCCUGAGCAAGAGUAUCUGCAUAAUUGUUUUUGGCACAUCCAGAGGUACUGAGCAUUUUGGCCAGGGGGAUGCACUUGCUGUUGUACUGGGGUCCCCAACGAGCAAAAUGUUCAGGGUUUUUAUGUAUCCUUUGCUUGCUAAUUAUUUUUGUAAUUAACCAAGCUACUUCUUUCAUUUUACUGCUGGUCUUAUCUUAUCAAUUUGCUAUUUGGCAGAAAUAAAACUUCUUUCAUCCAGAAAGGUAUCUCUUGC
rnacentral:lncRNA from 1 species